rnacentral:rRNA from 1 species
AUUGAACGCUGGCGGCAGGCUUAACACAUGCAAGUCGAGCGGGGGAAGGUAGCUUGCUACCGGACCUAGCGGCGGACGGGUGAGUAAUGCUUAGGAAUCUGCCUAUUAGUGGGGGACAACAUCUCGAAAGGGAUGCUAAUACCGCAUACGUCCUACGGGAGAAAGCAGGGGAUCUUCGGACCUUGCGCUAAUAGAUGAGCCUAAGUCGGGUUAGCUAGUUGGUGGGGUAAAGGGCUACCAAGGCGACGAUCUGUAGCGGGUCUGAGAGGAUGAACCGCCACACUGGGACUGAGACACGGCCCAGAAUCCUACGGGAGGCAGCAGUGGGGAAUAUUUGACAAUGGGGGGAACCCUGAUCCAGCCAUGCCGCGUGUGUGAAGAAGGCCUUAUGGUUGUAAAGCACUUUAAGCGAGGAGGAGGCUACUUUAGUUAAUACCUAGAGAUAGUGGACGUUACUCGCAGAAUAAGCACCGGCUAACUCUGUGCCAGCCGCCGCCGUAA